GCAAAGCGAGCAGCACAGCACUUGCGCGGUUGCAGCAUCAGCAGGAGGAGCUGGCUCGUCGAUCUCGACUGGCUGGCCACCGCCUUCCAUCCAUCCCCUACCUCCGCCCGCUGGUGCAGGAGUCCCCCUCGCCUCGCGCAGGAUACAUGCAGAAUCCCACAUCAACGGCGUCUCUCCAGCAAUGGGCCUCUUCACCGCGCUGACGUGUUGAUAUUAACCUUUUUUUAUAUAACCUUUAAAUAUGAAUCAUGCAUCUGAUAUUUCUUCCAAAUCUGCUCGCGAGUAUCCUUGUAUCCUGGCUCCAUCCAUUCGGUUUAGCGUCAACGGUUUCCUCGGCAGUAGAGAAUGAGGCUGUGAGGGACGCUGUGUUGACGGCGCUGCGGUUGGAGGCAGCUGCAGCGCCGGGCGGAGAGAACGGGACUCAGCAUGAAGCCGAGCAGGAGAUCACCUACCCCUCCCGCCUCAUCUACUACCUGAACGAGGAUUCGGAGAGCACCUACCACGACCUGGACACCCGGACGUGGAACCAGGUCACUGAGAACCAGCUGGUCCACUUGGCCCAAGCCAGCUUCCAGCUCGAAGCCUUUGGCUCCAGAUUCAUUCUGGACCUGACGUUAAACAAUGACUUGCUGUCCUCCGAUUAUGUGGAGAUUCACUAUGAGAAGGGCAAGCCUGUUCUGUCAAAGGGCGGGGAGCACUGUUAUUACCAUGGCCAAGUGAGGGGGAAUGAGGACUCCCAUGUCGCCCUGUCCACCUGCAACGGACUGCAUGGGAUGUUUGAUGAUGGGGUCUAUGUGUACCUAAUUGAGCCUCUGCAACAGACUCAUUCUAUAGAUGCGGCAGCCCGGCCGCACACCCUGCGGAGGGUGCCCACUCUGCAGUGGAUGGACAAGUCGAACAGCCUGGACGAGGAGCAGACGUCCUCCGAGCUAGCAGACCUGUGGUGGCUAAGGCGCAGGAAAAAGAGAGCUAUGCCGCGCAACGUGUUUGAGGAGAUGAAGUAUCUGGAGAUCAUGAUUGUCAGUGACCACAACACGUACAAGAGACUCAAGUCCAAGCAGCACACCAAGAACCUCGCCAAGUCUGUGGUCAACUUGGUCGAUGCCAUAUUUAAGGAGCAGCUGCACACACGUGUGGUCCUGGUUGCCAUGGAGAUAUGGACAGAGAAGGAUCAGAUUCCUGUGAGCGUGAAACCCUUGGACAUGCUCAGGGACCUUUCCAAGUACCGGCAACACAGCAUCAAGCAGCACGCUGACGCUGUCCACCUCUUCUCCAGCGUGAUGUUCCACCAUCGCAGGAGCAGCGCAGCGUAUUUCGGGGGCGUGUGCUCGGUGAGCCGCGGGGUUGGGGUGAACGAGUACGGCUCCACCUGGACCAUGGGAGCCUCUCUCUCUCAGAGCCUCGCCCAAAACCUGGGGAUCCAGUGGGACCCGGCGUCCAAGAGAAAGGAGUGCGGCUGCACCGAAUCGUGGGUGGGGUGCAUCAUGGAGGAUACUGGAGUGCAGCACCCGCGCAAGUUCUCCAAGUGCAGCAUCACCGACUACAAGGAGUUCCUGCUGAAGGGCGGGGGGUCCUGCCUCUUCAACAGGCCGACCAAGCUGUUCGAGGCGACCGAGUGCGGGAACGGCUACGUGGAGGUGGGGGAGGAGUGCGACUGCGGCACCAGAGUGGAGUGCUACAAGAACUGCUGUAAGAAGUGCUCUCUGUCCAAUGGUGCCCACUGUAGUGAUGGGCCCUGUUGCAACAGCACCUGCCUGUUCUACCCCCGCGGUUACAGUUGCCGCUACGCAGUGAACGACUGCGACAUUUCAGAGACCUGCUCAGGUGACUCAGGACAGUGUCCUCCAAACCUGCACAAGCAGGAUGGCUACCCCUGUCAGCUCAACCAGGGCCGCUGCUACAAUGGGGAAUGCAAGACCAGAGAAAACCAGUGUAAAUACAUCUGGGGCCCAAAGGCCGGAGGCUCUGAGAAGUUCUGCUACGAGAAGCUCAACACGGAGGGGACGGAGAAAGGCAACUGCGGGAGGGACGGAGACAAAUGGGUCCAGUGUGGCAAGCAUGACGUGUUUUGUGGAUAUCUGCUCUGCACCAACAUCGGGCGAACCCCUCGCAUCGGCCUGAUGAAGGGUGACAUCACGCCCACCUCCUUCAACCACCAGGGAAAGCUGGUGGACUGCAGUGGUGGGCACGUGCUCCUGGAUGACGAGACUGACCUGGGCUACGUAGAGGACGGGACACCGUGUGGGCCGUCCAUGAUGUGCCUUGACCGCAAGUGUCUGCCCAUCCAGUCCCUUAACAUGAGUGCCUGCCCCAGUGGCUCCAAUGGCCAGGUGUGCUCCGCCCACGGGGUGUGCAAUAACGAGGCGACAUGUACCUGCGACGCCACCUGGGCGGGGACGGACUGCAGCAUGCCCGACCCCCCAAAGGAGCCGGCCCAGACUGAGGACGACGGCCCCAAGGGUCCUAGUGCCACCAAUCUUAUAAUUGGCUCCAUCGCGGGGGCCAUCCUGGUGGCAGCCAUUGUGCUUGGGGGGACAGGAUGGGGCUUUAAAGGGUGAGAGUUUAUGCGGAGUGGCGCGAGAAGCCACGCCCAGUUUGUUGGCGUGCGAGCCUUUGUGCCAUGGCUGGCCGCCACGCCCACCCGGAUGGCCGGGCUCCGCCCCAGCGGGGCGGGGUAGGAUCCUCGGAGCCGCCCGCCAGCCGCCAUUGCUGCCUGCCUCACAGAUCUGAAAUGUCAAGAAGCGGAGGUACGAUCCCAACGCCAGCGCCAUCUAGAGGAAAGGAGGCCGCGAGCAUGGGGAGGAUUCUCCUUGGGUUCAUUAGUAAUCCAUUGCUGGACUGCACUUAUUGCUGCCCUUUUAUUGGCGUUAGUUUUACUUGAAGAAAAUAAAUUUAAAAAGACAUAGAAGAAAAAUAAACAACUUCCAUCUUAGUCAUAUAGAAAUGCAGCCCCUCUCAGUACACCAGCCCCCCCCCACCACCAUCACACUCGUCUCCACUGCCCCCCUCCAGUUCAAGAACUCCCUUUUCAGACGUACCAGUACAGGGACUUUUGGGGGGGUGGGGGUCCACAAACCAUCCUCUCAAAAAGAGGCAUGACUUCCUGCACAGAGCUCAGACUCUGGCAAGGAGAAGCCAGAGGUAGAUGGACCCUUUGCAUGGCGGACGAAAGCCAAGAAUACUAAUACGCAAAAUGAAAACAAAGCAAAAACAACGGAUUGUCAAAACAGAGGAGAAAGCCACAUCAAAUAAAAAAAUAAAUAGAAGAAUGGGAGGAAGAAGAAAGAACACCAGAGUGAUGCCCAGCUAAGUCUCCACCUCUGUGCUUACACCCCUCUGCUGGGAGGUUAUUUCAGCAGAGCCAUGCCAGGUGCCUGUAUCGUCUGGGUCUAGAUAGACAGAUGCUAAAGAAAAAUAAGAUCUUAGGAUGGUAUAUAAAGGAUGGAAAAGAGUUCUGUUAUUGACUAUUAAGGUGUCAUUUUUACUCAUUGACCGAAAUUGCUUUUGUUUUACAUUUUAGCAUGUUGUAUAGCGGGUGUUUUUGGCUAUGUUAACGACAAAAAAAAGUUUGAUCUUGGCCAAAUAAUCUCUACUAACACAACCAUAUAACGUGCAACCUGUCUGGGAUUCAGCAGAUUUACCAGGACUAGCCACCAAAAUGUGCUGCGCUCUACGAUGAACAGGUAACAGAGACAGGACUUGAGGGGUCAGAGGUCACACUGAGAGGGUGUAUGUCAUGUCUGGUUCAGAGGUCAGACAAAGGGGUCAAGUUACAGUCUCUGAAUUACGUCACGUGGGGGUGUCUGAGCAUAUCUCAGCAGUGACGCAAAGCCAAAGAAUUAAAGAUGCAAAUGUCUGGGUGUGGUCAAAAAAAACAGCACCCCUCUCCCUGGAUUCAGUGCUUCCCUGACUUCAGAUGCGCUGACAUGGGUCAGGACUCAAUAACAGUCUCCACUAACACCCUCUAUACUGGCCUGGCCUUGUAUAACUCAUGAACUCUUACUAGAAAAACAAGCUCGGGCCUUGCUGGUUCACUGCAUGAAAACACUAUUCCGGGCUUAAAAAAUCUGAUAAGAGAGUCCCAAAAGCUGCAAAGAAUAUUUUACAAAAGAUAGGUGCAUGUCAACAAUAAACCAUAUAACUUUUAUUUACUAUGCAAAGAAAGGUAUUGCACAAGCUUAUGGGUUAAUAAAUGUAACAAUAACAAUGAUAAUAUUAUUACCAAUAAGGCAAUCUUUUAUAUGCUUGGCCACUCCUACAUCUGUCCUUUCAUUUUAUCUAUUUAAACAGAAAUUAAAUGGAUAACGGAGUUUAUGUGUCCAAAGUUAAGAGACAGUGUCGUGUGCGUUACGAGACAAGUGUCGUGUACAUCUGUGUGGAAGAGAGCAGGAAAUGUGCUUUUUAUUCGUGUCGACGAAGCCAGGGCAACUUUUCCCAUCUGACAUUUCCGACUGGUUAGAGAGACAGGUGGCUUUUUUUUUUCUUAUCAGACUCCACUUCACAGAAAAGCUGACAGGUCUGUGUGUUCCAUGUGCCGUUGUGUUGAGCCCCAUCUCGUGUGCCUCUCCACACCGCUUCACCUUCAGAUGGAAGACAUUGAAUAAAACGACUAAAGUAUUUUACUCUGGGACCUCUGCCGUGUCUUUAAUGAAGUGCCUUGCGGCUCUGUGUUUCCGGCUAACUUUCUGCUAUGCGUUUUGCCGUCUUGACACGGUCACAACUGGUUAGCUGUAGAGCACAUGCACCACUGA